rnacentral:rRNA from 1 species
CUGAGUACGGCGGAACACGUGAAAUUCCGUCGGAAUCCGGGAGGACCAUCUCCCAAGGCUAAAUACUCCCUAGUGACCGAUAGUGAACCAGUACCGUGAGGGAAAGGUGAAAAGCACCCCGGAAGGGGAGUGAAACAGUUCCUGAAACCGUGUGCCUACAAGUAGUUAGAGCCCGUUAAUGGGUGAUAGCGUGCCUUUUGUAGAAUGAACCGGCGAGUUACGAUUUGUUGCAAGGUUAAGCGGAAAAAGCGGAGCCGUAGCGAAAGCGAGUCUGAAUAGGGCGCAUAAGUAACAGGUCGUAGACCCGAAACCAGGUGAUCUACCCAUGUCCAGGAUGAAGGUAAGGUAAUACUUACUGGAGGUCCGAACCCACGCACGUUGAAAAGUGCGGGGAUGAGGUGUGGGUAGCGGAGAAAUUCCAAUCGAACUUGGAGAUAGCUGGUUCUCUCCGAAAUAGCUUUAGGGCUAGCCUCGAGGUAAAGAGUCAUGGAGGUAGAGCACUGUUUGGACUAGGGGCCCUUCUCGGGUUACCGAAUUCAGAUAAACUCCGAAUGCCAUGUACUUAUACUCGGGAGUCAGACUGCGAGUGAUAAGAUCCGUAGUCGAAAGGGAAACAGCCCAGACCACCAGUUAAGGUCCCCAAAUAUAUGUUAAGUGGAAAAGGAUGUGGGGUUGCUUAGACAACCAGGAUGUUGGCUUAGAAGCAGCCACCAUUGAAAGAGUGCGUAAUAGCUCACUGGUCGAGUGACCCCGCGCCGAAAAUGUACCGGGGCUAAACAUAUUACCGAAACUGUGGAUGAACCUCUUUAGAGGUUCGUGGUAGGAGAGCGUUCUAAGGGCGGUGAAGUCAGACCGGAAGGACUGGUGGAGCGCUUAGAAGUGAGAAUGCCGGUAUGAGUAGCGAAAGAAGGGUGAGAAUCCCUUCCACCGAAUAUCUAAGGUUUCCUGAGGAAGGCUCGUCCGCUCAGGGUUAGUCGGGACCUAAGCCGAGGCCGAUAGGCGUAGGCGAUGGACAACAGGUAGAGAUUCCUGUACCAGUGCUAAUUGUUUAACCGAUGGGGUGACACAGAAGGAUAGGGAAUCGCACGAAUGGAAAUGUGCGUCCAAGCAGUGAGUGUGAGAAGUAGGCAAAUCCGCUUCUCGCGAAGCAUGAGCUGUGAUGGGGAAGGAAAUUAAGUACGGAAGUUCCUGAUUUCACGCUGUCAAGAAAAGCCUCUAGGAAGAGUAGUACUGCCCGUACCGCAAACCGACACAGGUAGAUGAGGAGAGAAUCCUAAGGUGAGCGAGAGAACUCUCGUUAAGGAACUCGGCAAAAUGACCCCGUAACUUCGGGAGAAGGGGUGCUCUAUUAGGGUGCAAGCCCGAGAGAGCCGCAGUGAAUAGGCCCAGGCGACUGUUUAGCAAAAACACAGGUCUCUGCAAAACCGUAAGGUGACGUAUAGGGGCUGACGCCUGCCCGGUGCUGGAAGGUUAAGAGGAGUGCUUAGCUUCGGCGAAGGUACGAAUUGAAGCCCCAGUAAACGGCGGCCGUAACUAUAACGGUCCUAAGGUAGCGAAAUUCCUUGUCGGGUAAGUUCCGACCCGCACGAAAGGCGCAACGAUCUGGGCACUGUCUCAACGAGAGACUCGGUGAAAUUAUAGUACCUGUGAAGAUGCAGGUUACCCGCGACAGGACGGAAAGACCCCGUGGAGCUUUACUGCAACCUGAUAUGGAAUGUUUGUACCGCUUGUACAGGAUAGGUAGGAGCCGAAGAGACGUGUGCGCUAGCAUACGAGGAGGCAAUGGUGGGAUACUACCCUGGCUGUAUGACCAUUCUAACCCGCCACGCUUAGCGCGUGGGGAGACAGUGUCAGGUGGGCAGUUUGACUGGGGCGGUCGCCUCCUAAAGAGUAACGGAGGCGCCCAAAGGUUCCCUCAGAAUGGAUGGAAAUCAUUCGCAGAGUGUAAAGGCACAAGGGAGCUUGACUGCGAGACUGACAAGUCGAGCAGGGACGAAAGUCGGGCUUAGUGAUCCGGUGGUUCCGCAUGGAAGGGCCAUCGCUCAACGGAUAAAAGCUACCCCGGGGAUAACAGGCUUAUCUCCCCCAAGAGUCCACAUCGACGGGGAGGUUUGGCACCUCGAUGUCGGCUCGUCGCAU